CCUACGGGAGGCAGCAGUGGGGAAUAUUGCACAAUGGGGGAAACCCUGAUGCAGCGACGCCGCGUGAAGGAAGAAGUAUUUCGGUAGGGAAACGUCUAGCAGCAGGGAAGAAAAUGACGGUACCUGACUAAGAAGCCCCGGCUAACGCCGUGCCAGCAGCCGCGGUAAUACGUAGGGGGCAAGCGUUAUCCGGAUUUACUGGGUGUAAAGGGAGCGUAGGCGGUUUAGCAAGUCAGAAGUGAAAGCCCGUGGCUCAACUCCGGGACUGCUUUUGAAACUGUUGAACUAGAUUGCAGGAGAGGUAAGUGGAAUUCCUAGUGUAGCGGUGAAAUGCGUAGAUAUUAGGAGGAACCCCAGUGGCGAAGGCGGCCUGCUGGGCUUUUACUGACGCUGAGGCUCGAAAGCGUGGGUAGCAAACAGGAUUCGAUACCCCUGUAGUC
rnacentral:rRNA from 1 species